ensembl:lncRNA
UCACUGGGGUGAACUCUCCAUUGACAGAAUGUUGCAGAGCAUCAUUUCCAGCUAAGGCCAGUAAUGAGUAGCUGGGGCAUGGUGACAUUUCCAGCUGACAGCCCUCUGUGGAAAGAACGUCUGCCUGUGGCUGGAGAAUAACCAAGGAAAUAAGAAAUUAGAAUAAAAAAAAUGUGUUGGUCUGAAACACAGUUUGUGCAAACUGAAAACACAUUGAAAUGCAGUAACUAAUCCCAAACAAGAGCAAGCUGCGUUGAACAAGGCGUGUCCACCAGGGUAGGACAAGAGUCAGGAUCAAGUUUCGUUAACAACUUUGCUGAUGAUCCGAGAGGACAGCACCAGUAUAAAUUGAAAUUCACAGAGGACAGUAAAUUAGAAGCAGAUUAGUAAAUAAAGCCCAAUGUGUGAGGAAAUCAGGCUGGUGAUUGGAUCAGCUUUACCUUACGCGGAGGGAGCAGCCACGAUGGGAAAGGGAGGACUUCAUCUGUUAAUUAUUUCAGCAUCUGCUGCGGAUGAAGGGUAAGGGGAGAGGUGGAAGACCUGGAGAUGGAACAAUAGCUAAAAUGAUCUAGGGAGAUUGGCCACAGAAGACAGUGUUCCCAAGUGAGUUCAGCUCAUGGAUGAGGCCAGUUAAUGAAGUUGCCACCCAUGGCUGUUUCAUAGGGCAGGGGGACCUAUCCCAUUACUGAGAACAUGGUCUGUGUGAGUCAGCCAUGGAGGCUGUACACUGCAAGGGGCAGGAGCAGGCUGAAGCCUUCCAAAGAGACAAUAUUUAUCCGGUUUGGUUUGUGGUUGCUUGAAGUCUGCUGGAGAAUUUGCUCCCAAACAACCAAACAAACAGAGGAAAAAGAAAUACAUGUGAAUGAAU